UACAGAGGGGGCAAGCGUUGUUCGGAAUUACUGGGCGUAAAGGGCGCGUAGGCGGCCUUCUAAGUCGAACGUGAAAUCCCCGGGCUCAACCCGGGAACUGCGUCCGAGACUGAAAGGCUUGAAUCCGGGAGAGGGAUGUGGAAUUCCAGGUGUAGCGGUGAAAUGCGUAGAUAUCUGGAGGAACACCGGUGGCGAAGGCGGCAUCCUGGACCGGCAUUGACGCUGAGGAGCGAAAGCCAGGGGAGCAAACGGG
rnacentral:rRNA from 1 species